AGUGAACGCUGGCGGUAGGCCUAACACAUGCAAGUCGAACGGCAGCACAGUAAGAGCUUGCUCUUACGGGUGGCGAGUGGCGGACGGGUGAGGAAUACAUCGGAAUCUACUUUUUCGUGGGGGAUAACGUAGGGAAACUUACGCUAAUACCGCAUACGACCUACGGGUGAAAGCAGGGGAUCUUCGGACCUUGCGCGAUUGAAUGAGCCGAUGUCGGAUUAGCUAGUUGGCGGGGUAAAGGCCCACCAAGGCGACGAUCCGUAGCUGGUCUGAGAGGAUGAUCAGCCAGACUGGAACUGAGACACGGUCCAGACUCCUACGGGAGGCAGCAGUGGGGAAUAUUGGACAAUGGGCGCAAGCCUGAUCCAGCCAUACCGCGUGGGCGAAGAAGGCCUUCGGGUUGUAAAGCCCUUUUGUUGGGAAAGAAAAGCAGCAGGUUAAUACCCCGCUGUUCUGACGGUACCCAAAGAAUAAGCACCGGCUAACUUCGUG
rnacentral:rRNA from 1 species